UCUCUCUCGAGGCUGGAGCACACGUUCUUCCCGAAUUCCUGCAGGCUUCUCGAACACUGCAGCCCCUUCUCUUAAUUCUCGCCAUCGGGGGUGCGCGUGGACUUACGGCUCGGCACGAUGGGGUGCCCCCCGCGUUCCCCUCCGAUGGGGGGCGAUGGGGGGCAGGCUCUGGGCGCUGGGAGGAGAGAAUGCAGCGAAUCUUCUUCCGGAGCCUCGUGCCUCAUCCCUCUGCCUCCACCGCCCCUCCCCCAGAUCCACAGCUCUGGCAUAAACACGCCUGCAGUGAAUCAUGGGAACUGCUGCUCUCUGAGGACAGGAAGCCUCUAUGAAUCCUGGGAUCUAUGGCGUGUGACCAGCACGGAUCGGCUUCUGGGGCUGGAAGCAGAAGCUCCCCCAAAGAGACUGGGCUUUCCACUCUGCUGACUGGCGUGCAAGAUCAGAACUGUGUACUUGUGAGUCUGGUGAGCUGGGGGAUGUGAUUACCCGUGCAAAAACAGGACUGUGUACUUGUGAGUCUGGUGAGCUAGAGGCUCUGAUUACUCGUUCAAGGCCAGAACUGUGUACUUAUUAGUCUAGUGAACUAGGGGCUGUGAUAACUCAUGUGAGGCCAGAACUGUGUGCUUGUGAAUCUGGUGAGUUGGGGGCUGUGAUUACUUGUGCAAGGCCAGAAUUGUGUACUUGUGAAUCUGGUAAAUUGGGGUCAGAUUACUUGUGAGUCUGGUGAGCUGGAGGCUAUGAUCACUUCUGCAAAGACAGGACUGUGCACUUAGUUUGGUGAGCUAGAGGAUCUGAUUAGUCAUACAAAAGCCAGACAUGCAUACUUGUUAGUCUAGUGAACUAGGGGCUGUGAUUUACUUGUGCGAGGCCAGAACUGUGUACUUGUGAGUCUAGUGACCUGUGAACAGUGAUUACUCAUGCAAGGCAAGAACUGCGUACAGGUAAAUCUGGUGAAUUCGGGGCUGCGAUUAGUUGUGCAAGGCAAGAAGUGUGUGCUUGCUAGUCAGGUGAGCUGGGGGCUGUGAUUACCUGUGCAAGGCCAGAACUGUGUACUUGUGUAUCUGGUGAACUGGGGGCAUUGAUUUCUUGUGCAAGGCCAGAACUGUGGACUUGUGAGUUUUGUGAGUUGGAGGUGGUGAUUACACAUGCAAGGUCAGAACUGUAUAUGUCUGUGUCUGGUUACCUGUGAAUAGUGAUUUCUCGUGUUAAGGCCAGAACUGUGUACUUGUGAAUCUGAUGAGCUGCAGGCUGUGAUUACUCGUGUUAAGGCCAGAACUGUGUACUUGUGAAUCUAGUGAGCACGUGCAAAGUCAGAACCUCAGCAAGAGUCAUGCGAUUGUACGAUCUGCCUGUGAAGAAGUGUUGGGUGCAGGUGUUACAAAUGUUCAAUGCUCUAGGGUGCUCUCUGGACCCCUCUGGAUGAAAGCCCCGGACUAGCUUGCUUGGGAUAGGUCAGCUCCCAGCCACAGCACUCCCUGAUUGGCUGGACUGCACGCCAAUAGCUCUUGAGGGUCAGUCCUUAGGGAAUGAUGAGAGUCACCUCUGCAAGCUGCAUGUCGGAUUGUCACUCUGAUCCAUCUGUCCACUCACACGGUGCAGGGUUUGAGUGUGGGGACCCCCAGGGGGCCGGCCCUCAGGGAACAGAGGGGCCACACUAAGCUCACAGUGCACAGUCGCGCUCAGUCUCCAGCGAAGGACGGCGUCUCUCUGGACAGGGCCUGCAGACAGGAGCUGCGAAGGACAAGGGUGCACGGGCCCUCUGUCCCAGCCAGACACAGAGACACACAGGCAGGCAGCGGAGACAGACUCCUCUCUCAGACAGCUCCCCUUCCUCCCCUCCUGGCCUCCUCUCCAACUAUACAGCUGAAACCCAAAGGUGUUUUUUUAAAGAACAGACACAAAGUGCAGACCAGCGUGCCGCUUUCUGCACUGUGUCCACCCUGUUUCCAGCAAGCUGGUCACCAGCUGCCAGUGAAACCCUGCAGAGCGACAACAGGGACUGUCCACAGCCACUGACAAGGCUCCACACUGCCCCCUGGUGCCCAGACUGGGUAUGGUCAGUGUUGGCAAGGCACCAGCCAGGAGCCCUUCUGCAGGAACACAACAGGAAAUGACACGCCAGCGCAUCACAGCACACAGCAGUCAGGGGCGACCCCUCAGCCCAGGCCCUGCCCUUUAUGGGGCACAUGCGGAUUCUCUACAGAACAGAACCAGAAGGGCCCAGAUGCUAAAACCUCUGGUUUUCAGCCGGGGACUCUCUGGGAGGUUCUCUUCCAGCUUGGACGUCUUCCUCCUGCAACACCUGUUUCCUGUUUGCCUUCCUGUUGUUGAAGAGUGACUGUGAGUGUGAGUGUGCGACUGAGGCUAUACGAAUGUGCGAGGGAUUAUGCAUGUGUGGGUACACGAGUGUGCGCAUCUGUCAUUAUGCACAAGUAUGUGCAGUGUGUGCAUGAGUAUAUGCAUAUGAUUGUGCAUGCAUAUGUUCUUUGGUGUGAUUGUACUUGAAAGAAACAAUGUGCUCAUGAAUGCAAGUGACAAGUGUGUGAGAGUGUAACCGUGCAUGAGUCUUGAGUGCAUGACUGCACGACUGCGUCUUUGCACAAAGUGUGUGUGCACGUGCAAGUUAAUUUGUGCACGGGUGUGGUUUUGCACAAGUGUGUGUGUGCACAUGCAAGGUAAAUUGUGCACGAGUGUGUGUGUGUGAUUGUGCAUGAGUCUGAUUGUGUACAUGUAAGUUAAAAUGUGCACGAUCUGUGUGUGGAAGAGUGUGACUGUGUGUUGUUUCUUCCUGCUCUCUCUCCCUAACUCAUCUUUCCUUCUCUCCUUUGUUUCUGUUCUCCAUCCUCUCUCUUUCUUGUGGCAGCAAGUUACAGUCUCGUAGUGUUUUUACCUUUAGACAAAAGACAGAAGGAGAACUUCUCCACUCUGCUUGUGCAUUGUACAGUGCUGUUUCUUUAACAAGUCAUGUUUGUAACUGGGGGUGACUCAUUCAUCAGAAUAAUAAAAACAGAAAAAGAAGAAAAGAUCAUGUACAGAA